AUUUUAGACAACUUUUGUUAGUGCGCACCGAAAUCCAUGUGGCAGGCGCCGGUGUUUUGCGCGCAUGCAAAUUUUGGGACCCGGAGGUUAUAUAUGGGAGUGGGAUGAGUCGAUGGCAAAGAGCGACAAAAGAGUUUUGCAAGUGGCUUCGGCUACUGCAGAGCUUGGCUGGAGCUUUGGGUCAGAGGCUGUAUAUAGGUAAGUUUGGCGAAGGACUGUUGCUGGUUCAUGGCGCCUGGGGUGAAGUCUUUGGCAAGAGAAAUAGGGCCUGGGUUCUCCAGUUCCCCGAAGGCUCUUGCUAGAACUUUGUCACUUUCCCUCACUCCCGCCCCCCCCCUCUGCGUACUCUAGGGUGCGCACCGCACCUUUACCUCGGUAAUGGUGUGUGGCCUCGCGAUUUAUCGCCCAAGUCUCGGGAUGACAACGUCUCCCCGAGCAAGGAAAGAAACAGUGGAUUACUAGGCUAUGCCAAAGAAAUCCCCAAAAUACCAAGAUCAGUCCGAUCUUUUUUCACACUA
rnacentral:misc_RNA from 1 species